GGUGGGUAUAGCUCAGUGAUAGAGCACAUGCUUAGCAUGCAUGAGGUCCUGGGUUCAAUCCCCAGUACCUCCA
rnacentral:tRNA from 1 species